rnacentral:lncRNA from 1 species
CUUUCCCUCCAGGCCGAACGGCACACAAAGUUCAGCCACAUCCUGCAUGCAAGCUGCAUCUCUCCUCUGGCCCAAGAAUGCUCAAGGACAAGUAAAUACUUCUGCAAUCAAGUCGUAAAACUGACCCCUCAUAAAAUGAGCCAAAUGGCCUUAGUCAUUUGAAAGAGAGAGAGAGAGAGAGAGAGUAUCUGACGAAGGGUCCCGAGUGGCCUGGGGAAAUCACCUUGUUCUGAAUCAAACCAAGUAUUAUCGGUUUUUUUGGGAAACCCCAAAUCACUUCUGUGCUACGCUUGAUUUUUCCUUCCGAAGCCACCCUGAUGAGUGAAGACAUUGAGUGAGUGCAUGCAAGGUAAAUAUA